UACGAAGGGGGGCUAGCGUUGUUCGGAUUUACUGGGCGUAAAGCGCACGUAGGCGGAUCGAUCAGUCAGGGGUGAAAUCCCAGAGCUCAACUCUGGAACUGCCUUUGAUACUGUCGAUCUGGAGUAUGGAAGAGGUGAGUGGAAUUCCGAGUGUAGAGGUGAAAUUCGUAGAUAUUCGCAAGAACACCAGUGGCGAAGGCGGCUCACUGGCCCGAUACUGACGCUGAGGUGCGAAAGCGUGGGGAGCAAACAGG
rnacentral:rRNA from 1 species